GUGGGGAAUCUUGCGCAAUGGGCGAAAGCCUGACGCAGCCAUGCCGCGUGAAUGAUGAAGGUCUUAGGAUUGUAAAAUUCUUUCACCGGGGACGAUAAUGACGGUACCCGGAGAAGAAGCUCCGGCUAACUUCGUGCCAGCAGCCGCGGUAAUACGAAGGGGGCUAGCGUUGCUCGGAAUUACUGGGCGUAAAGGGCGCGUAGGCGGACAGCUUAGUCAGAGGUGAAAGCCCAGGGCUCAACCUUGGAAUUGCCUUUGAUACUGGCUGUCUUGAGUUUGGGAGAGGUGAGUGGAACUCCGAGUGUAGAGGUGAAAUGCGUAGAUAUUGGGAAGAACACCGGUGGCGAAGGCGACUUGCUGGCCAGCAACUGACGCUGAGGCGCGAAAGCUAGGGGAGCAAACGGGAUUAGAAACCCCUGUAGUCC
rnacentral:rRNA from 1 species